rnacentral:rRNA from 1 species
UACGGGGGGUGCGAGCGUUGUCCGGAAUCACUGGGUUUAAAGGGUGCGUAGGUGGGUCUGUAAGUCCGUGGUGAAAUCUCCAAGCUUAACUUGGAAACUGCCAUGGAUACUAUAGGUCUUGAAUACCGUGGAGGUGAGCGGAAUAUGUCAUGUAGCGGUGAAAUGCUUAGAUAUGACAUAGAACACCAAUUGCGAAGGCAGCUCACUACACGAAUAUUGACACUGAGGCACGAAAGCGUGGGGAUCAAACAGG